rnacentral:rRNA from 1 species
UACGUAGGCAGCAAGCGUUGUUCGGAGUUACUGGGCGUAAAGAGUGCGUAGGUGGUUCUCUAAGUUCGGUGUGAAAUCUCCCGGCUCAACUGGGAGGGUGCGCCGAAAACUGGAGAGCUUGAGUAUGGGAGAGGAGAGCGGAAUUCCUGGUGUAGCGGUGAAAUGCGUAGAUAUCAGGAGGAACACCUGUGGUGCAGACGGCUCUCUGGACCAUUACUGACACUGAGGCACGAAAGCGUGGGGAGCAAACAGG